rnacentral:rRNA from 1 species
GACGAACGCUGGCGGCGUGCUUAACACAUGCAAGUCGAACGGAAAGGCCCUGCUUUUGUGGGGUGCUCGAGUGGCGAACGGGUGAGUAACACGUGAGUAACCUGCCCUUGACUUUGGGAUAACUUCAGGAAACUGGGGCUAAUACCGGAUAGGAGCUCCUGCUGCAUGGUGGGGGUUGGAAAGUUUCGGCGGUUGGGGAUGGACUCGCGGCUUAUCAGCUUGUUGGUGGGGUAGUGGCUUACCAAGGCUUUGACGGGUAGCCGGCCUGAGAGGGUGACCGGCCACAUUGGGACUGAGAUACGGCCCAGACUCCUACGGGAGGCAGCAGUGGGGAAUUUGCACAAUGGGCGGAAGCCUGACGCAGCAACGCCGCGUGCGGGAUGACGGCCUUCGGGUUGUAAACCGCUUUCGCCUGUGACGAAGCGUGAGUGACGGUAAUGGGUAAAGAAGCACCGGCUAACUACGUG